rnacentral:lncRNA from 1 species
GAGAAAUUAGCCUCAGGCAUGAGAAAUCACAUUGACGAGACGUUCAAGGAGACCUUUCCGAAUGAAGAAAGACGUGGACCAUUCAAAGGGGCCAUCAGUGACUUUACUCUUGACACAGAAGCUCUGGGCAGCAAGUACCAAGACGUCUUACUGCAGCUGACAUUUCUCAAGACAGAGGAAGCAAUAGUGAAGACAAAACUCAAAGAUAUCAUCCGAGAUGAAAAGAAAAGAAUCUACCACAGUCUGGCGAGGUCAAUCCAGGACUCCAUGAAGCCAUGCUAUAAAAACGCGGCAGAAAUCCAUGGAAAGGACUCACUGAAAAACAUGAGGGACACAAUUAAGAACCACCUGCAUGAGUCCAAGGACAUCAUGUUUGACCAGGCCAAAGAUCACAUGCUGACUCGACUGAGAAACUUGACGGAUCGAAUCCUGAACACCCUGAAUCAAGAUAUGGUGAAAUCGAUUGAGGUGUCACUCAAGACUGAUGAUCGCUCAAUCCCAGUUGUCACUCGGGAAUAUGAGAAGGUGAAGACUCACUAUGAAAAUCUGAGCUCCAACACAAACACCAA